CACUUUUCACACUAUAAAACAAUUAUACAAAUGCAUACUUCAAAAUGCAAAUGAGAGAGCAUAUGGCACAUAUUCCUAAAUUUGUUAAUGUUAUUAUUUUUCUUUUCAUAUUUGUAGUUGUAACUAAUGAUAUCGUUGUAUCCGUUGACAUUACAGGAGUUUUCCAAUGCAAGUCUAAUAAAGAAUGUCGUGAACAGAUGACAGAUUGCGACCCUCCUAAAAAACCAAGGUGUAUAUUAGACACAUGUAGAUGUUUUUAAUUGUAAGUAUAGUACUAAAAAAAUUAUUCAUGAAUUUGCAACUAUAAUGUUGGAUGUUUAGAAUUUUAAUUGAUUAUUUUUCUUCUUUGGAUAUUUUUUCAAAAUCAAUUUUACUCCUUCAAAAGUAAUUCUAUUAAAAGUUAUAAUUCCUAGUUUUUGAGUUUACUAGAAUCAAUUCUACAUUUAUUAUAUAUUAUUUAUUACAACUCUUUUAAAUUUUUCUUUUUACCCUCUUUAAUUUUCAUAAAUUACUUCUUUUCUGGUUGAUUUGUAUUAUCAUUUUGGUAAUUAUACAAUUCAAAAUCAAUUUUGCUAAAGCUAUCCAAACAAUAUUAAUUGAUAACAAUCACUUAUAUAUUAUUGUAUCCACAUAAAUCAAUUCUUCUAAACUCAAUUUUAUUGAAAUCAAUUAUAUCAAACUCAAUUCUUUCAUAAUCAAUUCUAUCCACCACCAAUUCAAACACACCCUCAACCUAUUUUCUAUGAACCUUCAAAUAAAUUUAAUCCACUCAAUUAUUUAUUAUUGUAUUAGGCCACUGUUGUUGCAUUAGUUCACUUUUGGAAAUUAAAAUAUCAAUUUUGUUAUGAUAAAUUGAAUUUGACGAAAUAAAUAUCUUUAUUAUUUGGAAAAGAAUAAAAAAUGAUAAAUUAAAAUUUAUCUACAAUUUUUUAUUCUUCUAUCACUAUUGUGUUUUACGAAUUUUAGGUUGAACAAAAUUUAUUUUGAAGCAUAAGCAUUUGUUUUUUUUUUUUAAAAAUUAAAAUAGGUAUUUCAAACAAAAUAUAACCACUUGUUAAGUAAAGAAGAAAUUGUAUCACCUAGAGAAGAUAUUGUAGCAAAAAAAAAUGAUUAAUGAUAAAAAAAUUGAAAAAGAAGCAACACAAUUUGUUAUAUCGUUUUUAUUUUCUUGCCACUCACAAUUUUCUUUUUAGGUUGCAUUAUCUUCAUUAGAUGAUGCAAUAGAGUUUGAUUAAUGAAAGAUGAAUUUAUGAGGUAGAAGAUGAAGUUUGUAUAGGGUACAAUUUUAAUUUCAUUCGUAAGUGCUGGAACACUUUGUCAGGUGAUAUUAUAAGUUUUGUUUCUAAGUUUUUCGAAAGAGCUAACCUUCCAAAAGCUAUUUUGGCUUCUUUCUUGGCGUUGGUUCCGAUAGUUGAAAACUCUCAAUUGUUAUCUGAGUAUAGACCCAUUAGUUGAGUGGGGAGUCUAUACAAAAUUAUUGCGAAGUUACUAGCUAAUAGAUUGCGACUAGUGGUUGGUAAAUUGGUGUCCAAAUCCCAAACAACUUUUAUUCCUGGUAGGAAAAUUCAAGAUAGUAUUGUGGUAUUGAAUGAAUUGAUAGAUUAUGCAAGGAGGCAAAUUCAUUGUUUUUAGGGAGAGGUAGAUUAAGUGGAUAGAACCUUGUGUGUGUACGACAUCGCUUUCGGUCAUGGUGAACGGAAGUCCAACGCCUGAUUCCAGGAUGGAAAAAGGAUUGCGGCAAUCCUUUAUCGACUUUUAUAUUCACUUUGGUUAAAAAAGGUCUAGCAUUGUUGGUUUCAAGAGUUGUUCAAGGUGGGGCGUUGAAAGGUUUUUCAAUGAGUCAAGGGUUGGAGUUUGAAUUAUUACAAUUCUUAGAUGAUACCAUUCUUAUAUGUGAGCCUUCGUGGAACAAUCUUUGGUGUGUAAAGGCUUUGUUAAGGGGGUUUGAAAUUAUUUGUGGUCUAAAUAUUAAUCUUUGUAAAAGCAGCCUCAUGUGUAUUAAUGUGGAAGAAGUGUUUAGGCAGGAGGCUGCAUAGCAUUUAUGUUGUGAAAUUGGAUUUGUCCCUUUCAAUUUUCUUGGUAUUCAGGUUAGGGUAAAUCAUAGAAGGAAAAAAGUGUGGAAACAAGUUAUUAGUAACACGAAGAAUAUGCUGUCAUCAUGGAAAGGGAAAUUCUUGUCGAUAGGUGGGAUGAUCACCUUGAUCAACUCAGUUCUUAAUGUAAUUUCAAUAUACUAUCUUUCUUUCUUAAGGAUUCCAAAGAUUGUUCUGAAGAAGCUUUUAAGAAUUCAACGAGAGUUUUUAUGGAGUGGUGGAUUGGAUAAGAAGGGGGUCGCUUGGGUAGAUUGGUGUGAAGUUUGUUGGUCAAAGGAAAAGGGAGUUUAGCCUAGUGUAGCGGGGAAAAUCUGAUAUCGAAGCCAUAGGAUUGACUCGAAUCAAUAUUUCGUUUGAAAUCGCCACCGCGCUUUAUUUUUUCAAAGGAAAAGGGAUAAGAACGAAAAACCCAAAGUUUUGUUUUUUAAAAAAACAAGAAAUAGAUCUCAGGUACGGGUGUUGAUUAUAUGAGGGGAAGGUUUUAACCACCCCUCAUAUCUGUGGUAUUCCACAGGAACCUUUUUGAAAAUUUGUGUCGUGUGUGCUAAAAAGAGUUUGUUUUAUUUUUAAAAUAAGCUCGGCAAAGCGUUAAGCUUUGUGCCUACAUACCUCCUCGGUGCAAUGGAGAAGUCAGAGCUAAUGUAGUUCCCCUUUAGGGAAAACGGUUUAAAAAAAACGAAUAAACACUUUAUCGUCGUCGGAGAGAAAUACUCAGCCAUUGAUCUUGAGCAUGAGAACAAACGAGUUCUUUGCAUCGCAAAUGAAAGAAGGGCUCCAACUCGGAUAAAAUCGACGAGUAUGCCACUAGCUCUCUCACGCGGAAAAGACCUCAUUAUAUCAAUCAAUUUCAAAAUCGUGGGGUAUAACCACUCGGUUCGACAAUUAAUCGUGUCUAAACUUUUGAAAAAAAGGCCACUAAGGGCAAAAGAUAUUUUAAAGAAAAAGUUUUGAAAAGGUUGCAAACAUAAGAAUGUUUUGGAAAAAGGGAGAAGAUUUUGAAAAUCUAAGAAGUGAGAGGAGAUGAAGAGGCUAUCCUAUUGCGUAAAAUGAAAUCUAAGGAAAGAAACGGUCUAACCGAUUUAAGAAGCCAACACUUGACAUUAAGAGUCAAGGUAGUUUCCCAUCCUUUGGACUUAUCAAUACCAAACCAACACAUUACCACUUGGGGAUCCAGAUGAACUUAUUGUCUUUAGCACCACUUUACAUUAAGCACAUUAAAAUUCUGACAAAAAUUAGGCAGAGUAACGGCUGUUUUCGGGUAAAAUCCUUAUAUCAAUGCCUUGGAAUUAACCAUCAAGGGCUUUCAAGGAAAUACCUGCAUAUACAAACAGACAACAAUCCAAUGCCAGAUAGACAGAAUAACAGCAGAGUAACAACAAAAUAAGGGUCCAGAGGCACUGAGUCCAUAAGUCCGAAUCUCCAAAAUCCUCAGGAUAGUAACCAAUAGUCCAAAAGAGAGCCUUAUGUGUUUUUUAGAUUUUGGUUUUUUAUUAGUGUUUUAGCAUAAAAGUAAAGUAUGGUCCAAUUGGACAAAAAGAAAAUAGCGGAAACAUAAACAUAUGUCCAAAUGGACAAAGAGAAAAUAGCGGAAUUAUAAACGUCCAAAUGGACAAAGAAAAAAUGGCGGAAUGUAAAUAUGAUGAAAUGAUAAAGUAAAGCGAUAAGGAAAGAAAUAUAAAGAGCGGUAUAAUAAAUUGCGGAAAUUAAAGUCAAUUGUUAGAUGUUAAAGAUAACCAUCUUGAAACUUGUCAAGUAUGUUAUCAAAGUUAGUAAUGAAGAUCGAUGGUGAGUGAAGGAUGUACUCGGAUUUAAAGUCAACGGAAACUUAUCAGAAGCUUGAUAAAAUCAUAGCGACUACACGAUAAAUUUCCAUAAGUCAUAAAUCAACCGCAUACAAUUCUCUUCCAUAUUUGAUCUUUUUUAUUCGGGACACGAAAUAUUGCGCUAUGUUAAGCAGAUCGCCAAUUGAUUUAUGUAGAAAUCACCCUACAACGAGGCCGGUCAAAACUUUAUGUGCUAAUGCAUGCGAGAAGAACGAUAUGUAGAUCGCCUUCCGAAAGCAAUACCGCACGAAAAGAAAAUAGGUAACGAUCUAGUCUUUACUAAGAAUCCAUAAGAACUCUCAAAGUAUUAAGACUUUCAUCGAUCAAAAGAAAAAAAGGAGAAGAAGAAGAUAAAAUGCAUAAAGAUAAUCAACUCACACUAUCAUUAAUAUCAUUUAUCUAAUAUUAUGGAUUUGGUUCUUUCAAACCUAUCAACAUCCUAGAUCCAAUGAUAUUAAUGAAGUGGAGGAAGUAGGAAACCAAAACAAGCAUAAAAAAGGCAAAAAUCCACAUUCUGCCAGCAGGAAAUCGAUUCAUGCAGGGGGAAAUCGAUUUCCAUAGUGCAGUUUUCACAAAAAACAGGUUACGUUCAGCAGGAAAUCGAUUUCCUCAGUGUAAUUUCCAGCAAAAACAGCAUUUAAAGGCAUGAAACUUGACUUGAACAAAUAUACAAACACCUUAUGAUCACACAUCAAUUGAAGCACGAAUUUUCCAUCAAAUCACCAUCAAAUAGCACCAAUAUAGCAUCAAAGAUGCAUUGAACACAAGCAAUAAAGAUCUACAUCAUGGAUCUAGCAAAUUACCACUUCUUUGAACAAAAUUCUUGGAGUAGCUUCAAGAGCAAGCACAAAGUGUGUAGAUCCUCAAGUUUGGAGAUGAACAAACAAAGAAAAGAGUGAAAUGUAGGAGGUUUAGUUCAAAAUUAGCAAGAUUCAAUGUGAAUCUCACUAAUCUUAUGAAGAUGAACUUUGGGUGAGGGUUUUGGAAAGGGUGAGAAAUGAAUUUGCAAGCAAUUUUUUGGCUCUCCAAGCUUGAGAAAUGAGAGAGUAGUGGGCUCUAUUUAUAGAAUUGGAGCAAGAGUAGUGGUAGUUUGGUCUUUUUGCAUUUGGUAAUUAGCUUGUGUUUAAUUGGUGAUUAAAGUGGCAUUUAAAUGGUAAGAAAUGGUAAAAUGAGGUUUAAGUGGGUUUAAUGAAGAGAUUAAUUUUGAUGAGGUGGAAAAUUGGUAAAAUGAUCAAAUAAAAAGGUGCCAAAAUGAUGUCAAGCUUCCCUCCUUAUAUUUUUUGAAUUUCGCCUUAAGGAAAUCGAUUUCCCCAGGAGUGAAAUCGAUUUCUCUCUGUUCCAGAAGAGAAAUUGGCGCAAAAUACACUAGGGAAAUCGAUUUACCCAGGAGGGAAAUCGAUUUCAUGCUGUCGAGAAUGUGAUUUUGGUGAAGAUUGCUGCAGGGAAAUUGAUUUACCCAGUAGGGAAAUCGAUUUCAUCAGUCAAAGAUGUGAAAAAUGCCUUGUUUAUUGCAUGUCUUGGCUUGGUACCUACAAAACAGAAGCCUACAAAGAAACAAAGCAAUAUUUUUGGUAUUUGGGUUAGUAUAAUAUGCAUACAAGAUAAACAAUUGUUGGUGCUUGAUGGUCCCUCUUGUUGAUGAGGUGAGUGUAACACCAUAAACAAAACUUCCAAGUGAAGCUCUUAAUUAGUGAUUGGGAUAUGAAUGAUAUAGGAUCUUAGGGUCAAAAAUUGGGGUAUGACAGAUGCCCCUAUUUAAGUUUCUUCGAUUUGGAGAUACGAUGAUUGGAAAUCUUCGUUUUGACAAGAUCGAAGAGACUUAAAUAUAUAAAACACAAUUUUUGAUCUUAAGAUGCAAUGCAAUGUUAAUGAAUGCCUAUGAUGAUGAAACAUGAUAACACUGGGGAGUACAAAGAACUCCACUGGGGAAAACAAAUGUCUUGCUAGCAUAACUCCGCUGGGGAAGGCAAGACUUCGUUGGAGAGAUGAAACUUUGGUGGAGAAAGAAACUUCUCUGGGGAAAACACUUCGCACCAGAGAGGUUAAAGCAUCCUCUUUCACUGGGGAUGGGAAAAGGAGAACAUCCUCUUUCACUGGGGAUGAGAAAGUAUGCAUCUUGAAUCAGAAUGCCAAUCUUCUGUUAACAGAAAUCACACCAUCGUACCACUGAUGAUAUGAAGAGAUGUACCGCCGUACCACUGACGAUAACACAUACCAACGUUCCACUGCAGGCAUGAAGAGAUAUACCACCGUACCACUGAUGAUAUAAAAGGGAUAAUUCAUUGACGUACCACUGACGAUGAAAGAGAUGUACCGCCGUACCACUGACGAUAACACAUACCAACGUUCCACUGAAGGCAUGAAAGAGAUAUACCACCGUACCAUUGAUGAUAUAAAAGGGACAAUUCAUCGACGUACUACUGACGAUGAAAGAGAUGUACUGCCGUACCAUUGACGAUAACACAUACCAACGUUCCACUGAAGGCAUGAAAGAGAUAUACCACCGUACCAUUGAUGAUAUAAAAGGGAUAAUUCAUCGACGUACCAAUGACGAUGAAAGAGAUGUACUGUCGUACCACUGACGAUAACACAUACCAAUGUUCCACUGAAGGCAUGAAAGAGAUAUACCACCGUACCAUUGAUGAUAUAAAAAGAGAUGUACCGCCGUACCAUUGACGAUAACACAUACCAACGUUCCACUGAAGGCAUGAAGAGAUAUACCACCGUACCACUGAUGAUAUCAAAAGAGAUGAUUCAUCGACGUACCACUGACGAUGAAAGAGAACACACCAACGUUCCACUAAAGGUGAUCUACCAAGUUGAAUUACAGCCUCAAUGGUUGACGAUAAGCUGCUGAGAACAAUAAGUUGUCGCUAAGAUUAGGGAUCAACUUCUUCUUUAAUCAAGGACAUGGCUUGAGAAAAGGAACUGGAUGCAAACUGUCACUUCUGAUGAAGGGACAUACCAUUUGCUGAGCUUCUUCCACUUGGAAUCAAGAAGUUCAUAAAGCCUGAGAGAUUAUCAGUUGAUGUGAAGAUAAGAUUGAUAUGUAGAGACACACAAACUUUCUCAAAUAACGAGGUUUCCAUUUGUUGUCAACCAAAACAUGAUGGGGAUAACACAAGUUGCUCCAAGUUAAAACCUGCCCCUUGCUUUCAAGCACAUCACUGCUGGAAAAUAAGCCUUUCAAUAUCUGAUAAGAACAUCAAUCACAAAUGAACUUUCCAUUGUUGAGGAACGAAGAAUCCUCAAUAGGUGCAAAAUAAAUGCCUUCUCAAUCUAGAUUUCCCAGCCUAGAGAGGUUCAAAAUAGUAUUGUAAGAGAUCAAAGUUCAACUCCAAGAACAAACUGGAUAGAAACGGUCAAACAAAGCUUUGCCCCUUGAGAAAUAACCUCAACUGGGGGUUAAUUCCAUCCUGAAAAAUGAGCUGAGGAGGAACACCGAAGAAAAAUUCUUCCACGAGGAACAAACUCAUUGGGGAUUAUCAGUCUCUGCGAGGAAUUUACAGAUCAUCCUCUUCUUAUCAAAAGAUCGGGCAACACCCCAAGCUCUAUUAUGGGGAAUCAGAGAAAAUUUCUUUGGAGAAAAUCACCAUUAUGAACUUGCAGAGGAAAUAAGAAGUUAACAUCAAAGCAAACAAAUUAACAUGCGGGGGAUUUUAGUUCAAAACUCAACACAAGAUGAGAAAGAAAACCCAACAGUCAACCGUUGUCUAAAAACUUCUUGGUAGAGAGUGACAUACUCUGGACUAAUCAUGGAAACAACCUUUGUACCUCAAGCUAAAGAGGUAAUCAAGGUUACUUAUGAUUCACAACUUGCCCCAGACUACAUGGUCUAUGAAAGGAAACUACCUCAAAAAGGUUCAUAGAGAUCCUUAGCAUCAUGAAGACUUGGAAUAAUCUGCCCCAGAUCAACAGAUUUUUGGAGAGAUUUGUCAAAUCUCGACGUAGCUGCCCCAGAUUGACUAAACUUGGCACAUUCUUUUACUCGACAAAGUCUUCGAGCUUUGCCCCAUGAUGGUAAUCAAACUUGCAAAAGCAUUAUACUGGGAAAACAACAUGCCCCUGGCAAUGUUUUAGUUUUCUACUGAUGAUCAGAUGUAAACUUCCUGGAUGUCAAACAAAUGUUUACAAGCAAAAAAAUGUUUAUUCUGAGAAUGAUAAUGAAAAUGUAACAAUUAUGUAAGUCUUGAAGUUUUAAAAAGA